CAGGUGCGCCCUUUCCUCCUCGCGCUCUGGUCUCGCCUCUCUUCGUUGGCCGCGGCCCGCGCCUCGCUCUCGCCUCUUCGCGUUUGCGGCGACUGUUUCCCUUUUCUCAUCCCUUUCUCGUCUCGCUCGAUUAUUUCGAGUUGCCUUCCCUCGAUUUGAUUUCGCUUCGUCGUCGCCCUUGUCUUCCUGCCCGCAGAUUUCGAUGCCCGUCUCCGUGCGAUCUGGGGGAGCGAUCCGGAUUCGAUCGAGUUGUUUUUGGUUUGCGUUCUCUGUCUCUCUGAGAAUCUGAUUUUGCGGCAUCUGCUUCGGUUCGGAAAUUCGGGUCCUCUGUUUCUUGUUCGCCUCCACACGUUGGUUGCAGGAUUGGACCUGGUGGAUUUGGGAUUGAAGCUCCGCUCCUGGUGUCUUCGUCUUGACUCUUGAGGCGAGGGGAAUUCGAAGCAGGUCAGUUUCUGGUGCUCGGUCAGAUCGGUCCAUUGGUUCCGUCACCUGCGCUCGGUGAUUUCAGAUUUUGAUGGCUCGUCCGUGUGGUCUCCUGGAUCUAUGUUCCUGACAAAGCGCUCUCUUCUGAGUUCCGACGAGUUACCGUCAUACGUUAAUAUAUGAGGUGGAUUCGAAGCCCUGGUGGAUUCUUAUUAGCAGCUGAUCUCGCUUGUGGUAUGUGUUUCCCUCUUUUAGAUGCAGAAGGGAGUCAGAGAUGAACCAAGUUCUGCAGAGAUGAGCCGAAUGGUAGAGGUUUGCGUUCCUAGUUAUUUUGAUUGGUUGCGGUUCAAAGGUUAUUAUAAUCAGAACGUCUGACAUGAAGUUUUGGUGUUAAAUUGAAGCUAGAUCAGAUCGCUUUUCAAACUGCAAAUUUGUGUUUGGAUAAUCAAUCUCAAUCCCCCUCGAUUUACUUCCUUCAUAGUACAAUUUCGUGUCCGGUGAUUCUGAUUUGGAUUUGUUGGUGGUUCUACAGAGAUGGGGAAUUUUAGAGCUUAGCGGGAGAUCCUAUUUUGCUUCAGUCAUCCCUUUUCAACCUGCAACUUGAUCAGUGUUUGGAUAAUCAAUCCCAACCCCACUCGAUUUACUUUCUUCGUAUGCACAGUACAAUUUCGUCUCUGCCAAUUCUUAUUUGUAUUUGCUGGUGGUCCUAUCCUACAGAAAUUGGAAUUACACAGCUUAGAGGGAGAUCCUAUUUUGCUUCAGUGGGAUCGCUUUUCAACCUGCAACUUGAUCUGUGUUUGGAUAAUAUCUCAACCCCCCUCGAGUUACUUUUUUCCUAUGCACAGUGCAAUUUCAUCUCUGGCUAUUCUGAUUUGGAUUUGCUGGUGGUUCUACAGAAAUUGGAAUUAUACAGCUUUGGGGGAGAUCCUAUUUUGCUUCAGCAAGGGCACUCCCUUCUGUGUUUGGAACUUUGGAUAAUGAGUCCCUCAAUUUAAUUUCUUCGUCUGCACAUAUGAAUUUUAGUCUCCAACGAUGGUUCUAAUUUAGAUUUUUGUUGGUGGUUAUUUAGAAAUUGAAAUUAUAGAGCUUAGCGGAAGGUUUUAUUCUGCUUCAAGAUGGAGCGGCAGCGGGCACUUCCUUCAGAGUUUGGAUAACGUGUCCCUCGAUUUAAUCUCUUCGUCUGCACAUUCAUUUUAGUCCAACAAUUCUGAUAUUGGAUUUGUUGGUGGUUUCCCAGAAGUUCGAUUGUAUAGCUUAGUGGCUGGUUCUAAUUUGCUUCAGCAUGGUUCCGGCGGUUCUUUUCGUGACUUAACUCUUCCCAUCUUCGAUUAUUGAAUUUCCAAAUGGUCGGUAAUUCUCAGCUUCUUGCAGAUACUGGCUUGAAGGGACAUAAUUGCAAUUUGGAACCGGUGUAAUCUAGCUGACCCUCCCAGACAGCUUAACCACCUUCAUUUCCCCAUAGUAUUUUAUGCAUUCUCUAGCUAAGCAGCCCAACUUUCCUCUAAAUCUUUUCUUACAGAAAGGUCUUCCUCAUUGCAGGACAUAUUUGACGAGUUCAAGUCGAACCUAAUGCUUAUUUACUGAGUCGAAUUUUGCUGAUCUCUUAAUCCACUAUCUUCUCAAUUCAUCAUAAAUUAGAACCAUAAUAUCUUACUAGUAAAUAUUUGAAAUUCAGAUUGAUCAGCAAAGGUGCACCGUUCUAAGGAUGAUUUGGAGCUACUAAUGGCACAUCCUAUCCUACAAGCAAAAAAACUGGACUGAGUCGAAUUUUGCAUAUCUCUUAAUCUACUAUCUUCUCAAUUCAUCAUAAAUUAGAUAACCAUAAUAUUUUACUAGUAAAUAUUUGAAAUUCAGAUUGAUCUGCAAAGGUGCAACAUCCUAAGGAUGAUUUGGAGCUACUAAUGGCACAUCCUAUCCUACAAACGAAAAAAACUGGGCACUAUCUUUAUCUAUUACACUCUUAUUUCGAGUCAUCUUGUUCUUUAUUUUUUCUGUUUAGCUGCUUUACAUAUCUUUGAUUUAGGAUUUUGCUUAUACCCUUACCGUGGUUGCAGAUAUCAUUGCCCAGGCCAUGCUUGCAGUUACUCGAAAUCUGUUAGAUCACUUGGUUUGCUCUUUCCCUCUCUGGUUCAGUUGGUGUUUGUAUUCCCGACCCGCCUUGUUGGUUGCAGGAUAUAUAGUUGAAAUUUAAAUGGACCUAUAGCAGAAUCUGUGCUCUUCUAGUGGAGUCAGGUCGGUCACAGUUGUUCGGUUCAUUUGUGUUCGCCACCUCGACGCAUUUGUUGCAGGAGACUAGAUCUGGUCUGGAAUAUGUGCACUUCUCAUGUGGAGUCAGGUCAGUCACAGUUGUUCGGUUCAUGGUUCAUUUGUGUUUUGUCGCCUCCACGCGUCUGUUGCCGGAGAUCAUGAGGUGGUUUUGAGGCCCCGUGUUGGUUAUUAUCAUAACAACUGAUCUUGCUUGUGGUAUUUGGCUGUGCUCCUUGAGAUGCAGGAGGUGAUUGUUGUGGAUGGAUGAGUCAAAAGGGUUGAGGUUUGCUUACUGUUCGUUCUUUUUCUUAUUGGUUGUGGUUCAAUGCUGUAUCUGGUAUGGUCAGAUCUCGUGAGCUGGUGUUGGAUUCAUGCUUGAUUGGAUCGUUGAUCAUAUGGUCGGAGAACUUGAACUUGCUUGGAUAACCACCCCACCUCUUUGUCUGCUCAGUUCAAUAUUGGGUAUAUGACAAAUAUGAUCUGUAUUGUUGGUUCUCCAGAAAAUUGUACUUACAUGACUCGGCGGGAUGUCUUGCUUUGCUACCCCAUGUUACUAGCAGUUCCUUCUGUGACUUCAACAAUCUUUUCAAACUUACUUACCAACAUGAAUGCGCUGCCUUUGUCAGUAAUUCUCUGCUCUUGCGGAUGCUGACACUUGGAUGAGACGUAAUCUGGAACCGCUGCUUGUGUCCAAUAGAUCUCUGCUAGUCAGACCAUCCUUAAUCCCAAUCCAUCACUGUUUGAUGCAUGAUUUAUCUGCUUAAGCAGCUUCUUUCUGCCAAACUACAAAAAUCAAAGAAAGGUGUUCAUUGCAGGUCCUAGCUGACGAUUUAGGUCCAACACUCCAACCUGAUGCUGCAGUUGGGUUAUCUAUUUGCAGAUAUUCUAAAUUUGCUACCUUCUCCAUUCAUUCAAAACUUAACCUAUAUAAAGUGGUCAUACUGAGGCUAUAUCUGAACACUCAGAUUGAUCUGCAGAUGUGCAAGAUUAGAAGUGCGCUCUGGAGCUUCAAUCUAGAUGUCCCAUCCCACACACCAAAAACUCAGUGUACUCUAUUAGAUCUCUUAAAGCUCUUGUUUUAAGCCUUUAUUAAAACUUCUGCUUUGCCUUGGUUGCUUGUAGCUUUGAUUUGAGUUCUUUUUUUUGCCUCUGCCUCUCUGUGGUUGCAGAUUACAUUUAAGCCCAAGCCAUGCUGUUAGCCACUGGAAACCUGUUAUAUUCUGGUUUGCUAUGUAUCUAUCCGUGAUUCCUUACAUCUACUCUGCAUUCCGUGUUGUUAGUUUCCUGGGCAUGUUCUUUGCAGUAUAUACGUUUUGGAAAGGGUGGGGGGGGGGGGGGGUGGUGGCUACCUGUGCCCUGUACGACGAGUCAGGUUAGUGUUCUUGACAGUCUGUUCAGUUCCUCCACCGAUGGCUAAAUAAUUCUCAAGGUGAAUUUGGCACCCUGGACUAGUUCGUACUGAUAGAAAUUGAUUUUGACUGGUAUUUGUUUGUGCCCCUCUAGAUAUAAGACAGUACUUGUGGAGAGUGGACAAAGAGGUUUGGUUAGUUCACGUCUGCUCUUUCUGUCAGAUACCAGUUUUUGUGGCAACUGGGAUUUCAAUUGUGUUGGUCAGAUUCACAUGGUUGAAGUCUUGAAGAUUUGAAGCUUGACCGAACUUGUAGAACUGGAGUCUGCAAUGCUUCUUUUUGCUUAUUUGAUCUGUUGAUGUGAGGAGUUUGUUCUGUGCGACAAUGGUUUGGAUACUUGGUUGUUUUCCAGCGACUGAUAUGACCGGAAUUCUUUCGGGCCUCAGCAACUGGAAUGGGCUGAGUGUAGGAGUUCCUUCACGAUAAAUAAUCCUCUCAAACUUCUUAUUGAUAAUUUACAUAUGAAGUGCUGUUCAAUGCUUGCUAGUAAUUAUUAGUUUUGUGCAGAUCUGGCAUACAGUGAGGAAAUCGAUACUGAUGUGGAAGAAUGCAUGGCUUCGCUAAACCAGGCUUAUCCAUCUCCCUUCCCAUGUUUUGCAUGUUUUCGUUGUUGACCGGCUUUCUCCAAAUGGUUUAGGAUUAUGGAAUUCGUUCAUUGUAGGCAUUGCUGAUAAUUCUCCAAGAGGGACCUAAUGUUGUCAUGCAUGCUUUGUUUGUUAGAAAACCAAUUAUCUCAGCUGUUAUAAGUGUAGUAAUCAAUACUCCUCAGAGGAAAUGCUUGAUUAGGAAGUUGGAAAAUUCAGCAUGGAGAAGUUUCCCGCAACUGUGAUAAUUUUUUUUUGUUGGCUUCCAGCAUUGAAGUUUCAAAUAUGGAUGUUGGACUAGAGCUUUCCAUUUGUGGAUUUAUUCAACGGAUUUCCUCUCAUGAUAAGUGAUCAACUCAGACUUGCAUUUUUAAUAUGUUUCAGAAGCACCUUACCUUUGCAGAAAUAUCUCAACACCAUUAAGAUGUAGAUGCUCUGUGAUGUGACAGUCUUUCACUACCUGAGUAAUUUGCCAAAAACUAAUAUGAAAAUCUUUGAUAAGAUCAUUUGCUCACUUCUGGUCAUCUUGGAAAAAGAAUCUGAAUAAGCUGAGAAAUUUGUUGACAAACUCACUUAAACCCACAACUUUUGUUGACCUGCCACUAUCUGAAUUCUGAAUGUUGUUGAGUCAAUUCAGUGGCAUGAAGAACUUGAUUGCUGUGCAGAUUACUGUGUAACUAUGGAGUUAUGGAUUGCUGUGCAGAGGUUGGCUUUCAUCUUGAGUAUUAGCAGUUCUGAUUGCUGUGCAGAUUACUGUGUAACUAUGGAGUUAUGGAUUGCUUUACAGAGGUUGGCUUUCAUCUUGAGUAUUAGCAGUUCUGUUUCUGAGGGUAUUUUUCAUUCCUUGGAAUAUUUCAGAUUUUUGGCACCACAAUGUUCUCCAGAGAAUGAAGCUUCUUAAGUUGGUUUGGUGUAUACAAGUCAAACCAUCUGGUAUAAAUGUCCUUUUUCGUGCCUGUUCAAAUUUUCUUCUUAUAUAUCUGGUCAGGAUUAACUAGGUUCAUGACAUCUGCAGUGUUUUAUUUACUUGCACUGAACACUCAAGCUUGCACCACGUAGGACUGUCUUGACUCUUUGAUCUCCCAGAUUUAUUUAUCUGUUUGGUGCAUCACAUACUUUCUCUAUACAACCAGCUAGUAUUAUUAUUCAUCCCAAGUCUUGGCUGAGUCACCAUUUUUAUUGUUGUUCGUGCCUACAGUUCAUACUUCUGUUCUUAUCUGGCCAGGGCUACUCUAUUCAUCUAGCCUAGCUCAUUGCAUAUUCAUUUUUACCAGAUCAAGGAUACUUUUGGAGUUCAAUUUUUUACCACAUUGCUUUUUUUAUUGAAUUAUAAACAAUUGUGAUAUCUAGUUGAUCCAGUGUGUUAUAAGCAUCCUUGGUUGUGUUUUUUCAAAGGGUUAUUUGACUGUUCCUUUUCUCAACCAUGGUUUGUUCAGUUAGAUUUCAUCCUGAAGCACAUUGAUUUGUUCAUUUCUAUUAAAAACGAUUUAAAGGUGCCAUGGAUAUAUGUUAUGAUGUGUGAUGGAAUUGCUAGACCCUCAAUCUAACUUCAUUCCAGAUUAAAGUUAUCUGACUUCUUUUCAAGAAUGUGAUUGGUGUGUUGAUCGAUUUGUUCUUAGUGGAAGACUCUAGUUGGGAGGUCUAGCAAAAGUUCGGUUAGGGGUGCUUUGAAGCUUGGACUUAUCAACCUGACUGUUCUGACUGCUGAUUGGUGAUCUUGAAGUUACUUGAUUUGGUCGAGGAAGACUCUAGUUGGAAGGUCUAGCAAAAAGUCGGUUAGUAGGGGGGCUUUGAUGAAGAUUGGACUUACCAACCGUGUUCGCUCAGCUGACUGUUCUGACUUCUGAUUAGUGAUUUUGAAGUUACUUGAUUUGGUAUUUGGCAACUUACAGUUCCACUUUGUCAGUGGCCUGAUCUCCUUGUGUAUCUUCGAGUCAUUAUGGUAUGUUAUAUGCUUAAGUUUGCGUGCGGUUUGGAUGGAACCUUUUUUCUCCUGACUCAACAAUAAUGCCAGAGCUGGAAGUUGCUUUCAUCUGAAACAGAAUUCCUAAAGCAGAAAGAUCAAUUUGUACCAAAUUUUGUUAGCAGAUUAUAAAGUGUUGAUUUGGCUAUUGGUUACCUAGUUAUUUCUGGAAGUUGGGUGUCAUUCUAAUAUUUGACUGCUACAAUCUUCAAAAUCGACAGUGCACUCAGCAAUGUAUUCUUGUUGCAGAAAAUCUUGUAGGCUGUCAAUCACUUUGUAGGAAGUAAAUAUCACAUGUGUAAAUGGAGAAAAAAGAUCUCCACAGUUGCUAUACUUGAAUUUCUUUGAUAUUCAGAUUUGUCAGUCUACACAUUGUUGUUCAUGUUCAUAACAGCACUGAUUUUAACUUCUCCUGGUCAGUUCUUCACUUCGUAAAGAUGGCUUUUUGUAGACCUCCGAUCCCACCUAGUAGUUUGCUUGACCCACUUUAUUGAUUUCUUGUGUCAAAACAUUAACUAAUAUAAUUAAUUCAAAGAUCAACUCUAGAAUUAUAGCUGGAUAAUUUUGAAGUGUUAGGGGUUACGACUAAAACCCGAAGCAUCGGACCAAUGAUCUCCCCAUGGCUUCUGUGCAAGUGCCACAAAAGGCUGAGAAGGAGGUUUCUUUCUCAUUGGUGUUGCUUCAGACGAAUCUGGAUUACAGGAUUUUCAAACACAUCUGCUUGGUUCACUUCUAGUGGUGGCUUGCACCUGAACUCCAAAAUUAUUGUUUAUAUGUCUUCCUUUCAUCUGAGUACAUCCUGGAUUUCCUAUGUGCCUAUCUUAGGGCCUUCCAACCUUAUGAUGUUUUAUCUCUUAUGGCAUAGUGAUGAAUAUAAAUCUCGCUAUGUUCGUGUUUCCAAGACUCGCCCUCACCCCACUAGAGAAAUAUAGGUCUGGAGGUAAUCUAGUUUAUUUCAGUCAGGUUCUUAUCUAUAGCUUGCUUUCUUUAUGUUGGAGAUCCAAUGUUGCAUGUAAUAACAGUUUGCUUGUGCUUCCAUGCCUGUCUCUGUGUUAUCUUGUUUGCAAACGUUCCAUUGUGUGUACAGAUAUUGCCUUUUGGUUGAUCAUGUGAUUUGUAUGCUUUGCUGAAUGCUUGGUUCUCGUGUUUGCUAAUUUGUGUUUUGUAUUGUUGCAGUUUAACACUGCCUUUGCCGGUCCCAAGCCCGGAUGAGAAAAGGUGGAGGGAACUGCUUUGUAUUAGCAAUAUUUGCAAUCGUGUAACAGUGGAUUAAGUUCAAUUCUUAAACUUAACGUAAUGUGGUAGCAUAUGGUUCAAACUUCGGAAUGCACCCUUGCCGUAAUUGAAUCAAAAUUUAUUUAGUCACAAGGUGGUCGCAGCUGGAACUGAACUCCAGGAGGUAACUGAUUCCUGUCUGAACAUACAAUCAGUCAAGUCAUGAUAUAUGGACAGAAGCAUUUUGGAGUAGUGUGAGGCAAUACAUAGCAGACGUCAUGAGAUAUAUGGACAAAAGCAUUGUGGAGUAGUGUACACAUAGCAGACGUCAUGAGAUAUAUGGACAAAAGCAUUGUGGAGUAGUGUAAGGCAUUACAUAGCAGACCUCAUCUAAGGUUCUAGGAUCUUGUUCAGGUUCUGGUUAUGGCUUGAAGAACUGCUCCCUAGAAGAGGCUCUCCGUUUUAGUAGUACAGUAGCAUUCAGUUUGUCGGUAUUACCUAGGAUGACUGAGGGUGAUGGAUCAACGAUAACCGCAGCACUUACAACCACUUCUCUAGCCUAAAGUGAACUUGCUUGCUGCCUGUGUCUCAUCUUUUAGCGGGAAAUGAAGCUUCUACUGGGGAAUCCCAGGACUGAAAUUGAGACAGGCACUCAAUCACCAAACCAGUUUUUAUGAAAGGUUUGGCUAGCUCUCAGCAGAAUGGUAGAGUGGUAGACAACCAGAAAUCUGAUGGAAAGGUUGGGGAGGCAUAUACUCUCACUGCUCUGUUUUCUUUUAGAUUGACGGGGGACUACUCCCCGCCGGUUGUGAAUGGAGUAUAUUACUCGAAAGCCUGACUUGGGGCAGUCCAACUGUUAGGCCAAGGGAGUAUAGAGCAGGGGAAAUACUAGAGCAGGGCCAAGUGUAAUUUUUUUGCAUGGUUGAUGCUGAAGAUAAGGAUCAAAGUUAGAACUACACUUCACCUCCAAGGAGUGAUCGUUUCGGACGCCUGUCCUUAUGGAUGCGGUUGCUCAGAAACUGUUCACCAUCUGGCGUUCUCGUGUCCAAGAGCUGGGGCUGUUUGGCAUGCCUUUGGUUAUCCUGUAUCUGCUAACUACGAGGUUCAGGACCUCUUUACUUCAGUCAAGGAACUGAUUCCUUCAGCAUGGUUAAGAAUUUGGGACACAAUGGUUGUGUCAAUUCUUUGGAAUUUAUGGCAGGCCAGAAAUCGUAAAGUGUUUGACAAUGUCCUUUUUAUUGUUCCAAUGGUGGUUCGACAAUGCCAAGAUACUUUCAAGUUAUGGUUCUUCAGAAUGAAAGAGAUCGAGAAGAAGGCUGCCCGCGUUUGAUAGAUUCAUGCCCUGACUAUAGGAUUGGCAUGUUGUAAUCUUUUGUCUUCUGUUUUCCCUUGCUCCCUCCCCUUUGUUCUUUUUGCACAACCAUCUUGUAAGAUAAAUGCCUGUUUCUGGCACUUGAUAAAAUUAAGGUAGGGGUCUCCCCUUCCGUUCAGCUAAAAAAAAA